CCUACGGGGGGCUGCAGUAAGGAAUCUUCCGCAAUGGGCGAAAGCCUGACGGAGCAAUGCCGCGUGUGGGAUGAAGCGCCUUCGGCGUGUAAACCACUGUCAGGGAACGGAACCAAUGAUUGUUCCCAAAGGAAGUGGCGACUAACUCUGUGCCAGCAGUCGCGGUAAUACAGAGGCCACAAGCGUUAGUCGGAAUCACUGGGCUUAAAGGGUGCGUAGGCGGGCUCGCAAGCGUCUUGUGAAAUCCCAUGGCUCAACCAUGGAAUUGCAGGGCGAACUGCGAGUCUUGAGGCAGGUAGGGGCCGGAAGAACAGUAGGUGGAGCGGUGAAAUGCGUAGAUAUCUACUGGAAUGCCGAUGGGGAAGCCGUCCGGCUGGGCCUGUCCUGACGCUGAGGCACGAAAGCGUGGGGAGCAAACAGGAUUAGAUACCCCAGUAGUC
rnacentral:rRNA from 1 species